rnacentral:tRNA from 1 species
GGCACCAUAGCAUAGUGGUUAGAGCACUGGCCCUGGACACCAGGGGAAGCAAGUUUGAGCCUUGCCUGGGCCU